CCUGGGCCUUAUAGUAAAGUAAAAGUGAAACGAAUGUGCUUACCGGAUUUUAAGAUGUCGAUGAAGGUCACGUUGUACCCAAUCUUUUCUUCCUGUAUUUUCCGACACUCAUAAAAACUCUUCAACAUUCGUGAAACUAAUAUCGUUACCAGGUUUGUCUGGCCCUGCACCCAUUUGUACAUUUCACGAUGUCGAUGAAGGUCACGUCGUACAGUACCAUUGUUUUCUUCCUGUACUUUCAGACACUCAUAAAAACUCUUAAACAUUCGUGAAACAAACGUCGUUACCAGGCUUGUCUGACCCUGCACCCAUUUGUAAAUUUCAAGAUGUCGAUGAAGGUCACGCUGUUAUAGUAGCAAUGUUUUCUUCCUGUCCUUUGAAAUCACAGUCCGACACUCGUGCUUC